CCUACGGGAGGCAGCAGUGGGGGAUAUUGCACAAUGGGGGAAACCCUGAUGCAGCGACGCCGCGUGGGUGAAGAAGCGCCUCGGCGCGUAAAGCCCUGUCAGCAGGGAAGAAAAUGACGGUACCUGAAGAAGAAGCCCCGGCUAACUACGUGCCAGCAGCCGCGGUAAUACGUGGGGGGCAAGCGUUAUCCGGAUUUACUGGGUGUAAAGGGGGCGCAGGCGGCGAUGCAAGCCAGGAGUGAAAGCCCGGGGCCCAACCCCGGGACUGCUCUUGAAACUGCGUGGCUAGAGUGCAGGAGGGGCAGGCGGAAUGCCUGGUGUAGCGGUGAAAUGCGUAGAUAUCAGGAGGAACACCGGUGGCGAAGGCGGCCUGCUGGACUGCAACUGACGUUGAGGCCCGAAAGCGUGGGGAGCAAACAGGAUUAGAUACCCCUGUAGUC
rnacentral:rRNA from 1 species